rnacentral:rRNA from 1 species
ACCAGACUCCUACGGGAGGCAGCAGUGGGGAAUAUUGCACAAUGGGGGAAACCCUGAUGCAGCGACGCCGCGUGAAGGACGAAGUAUUUCGGUACGUAAACUUCUAUCAGCAGGGAAGAAAAUGACGGUACCUGACCAAGAAGCCCCGGCUAACUACGUGCCAGCAGCCGCGGUAAUACGUAGGGGGCAAGCGUUAUCCGGAUUUACUGGGUGUAAAGGGAGCGUAGACGGCCAUGCAAGUCUGAUGUGAAAACCCGGGGCUCAACCCCGGAACUGCAUUGGAAACUGGCGGGCUGGAGUGCCGGAGAGGCAGGCGGAAUUCCUAGUGUAGCGGUGAAAUGCGUAGAUAUUAGGAGGAACACCAGUGGCGAAGGCGGCCUGCUGGACGGUAACUGACGCUGAGGCUCGAAAGCGUGGGGAGCAAACAGGAUUAGAUACCCCAGUAC